UCAUCAGCCAAUCAUAUUCACCGUACCGCGGAAGUUGGUGAAAAGAGGGAAAUGCGGUUUGUAGACGUCGUCGGUCCAAUUGUAAACUAAACUACACACAAAAAGUAUUAUGUUGAUAUUAAUACACACAUUAAUACAUGUAUGUAUAGUUUAAAUGUGUACACAGUCAACUUCGGCUGCGUUGGGAUUUGACUCAGUCGUGUCAUUUACGGAGCCAUGUCUCAGUCAGUGGUCCAACUCCAGCUAACGGAAAUGCAGUUCUGGCUGGACAAAGUGGAGGGUUGGGGUCCAGCUGACAUUGCGGACGUUCAUAAGGAUACCUGUUUUUACUUGAGUUCACUGAGCGAUUUCCUCCGGAGACUCCUUCAACACAUCACCAGCGUGGCUUCCACGACAGAAACCAUGAAGAACACGCCUUCUCUCGGCCAGAUUGUGGGCCGCCUUUGCUGGAACCCAGUUGUCACUGCUAAUGAUGAAACCAGAGCGCUGAUCAUUCAGUGUCUGUGGGCACUGUACACCGAGCACCCAGGCAACACUCUGGAAAGAAAGGCUAACCAAUGGGUACAGAGAGUGUUGUGCCAACUUGCGACUGAAGACGACACAAAUUCAUCCAGGCUUUUGCUGAAAGGAUUGGGCUUGUCACCAACACAGUACCAUCAAGAAUUCCUCAAAAAGGUGGUGAAACAAUUGCAGGAAAACAGUGGAAAAACCUGCAAUUUGUUGGGGGAUGUAAAUCGGAGUUGUUCAUGUGACAGGACUGUCGCCAUAUCCGAGGCGUGCAUCCCCCUGAUUACCUGCGCAGAAGUUGCUCCUCUCAUUGGAGCUGUACUCCAGAGGCCAUUGACAUGUACACGAUCAACAAUUACUGAUAGCUUCCUGGGAGCUGUAAAUUCCGCCUAUUCCAGUGGUCGCUUGGCACUAGAGGACCAUGCUGUAGUCGUCUUGUGGUAUCACAGCCUGCCCAGCCUGGAGGAAGCGGUGCUCAAUUUGCUGGAGUCAACUGUCCUGGCCAAUGCUAAGAUAUCACCGCAGAAGCUCCAGCAGCAAAUAACACAGUCACUCCUGCCUAAAGCCUGUGCCCAGUACUGCUCCAUGUUCUUGGUUGUCAAUGACAUCUUCAGAUCCAUCCUCAAGAAGCGAGAGGAUCUUCCAUGCGUUAGAACUCUCAUCCAAACGUUUAUGAGCUGCUUCUACAAGGAACUUACACUAUUACAUCCACAGACCCGUUUACCUUUGAAGGCCUUCUUUCCUUUGUCCCCGCAAAGUUUGCUGCCUCCGCUCUUGACCCCGGCUACAGAGGUGCCAGGGGAGGCUCGAAGACGUCACCUGUACUGGCUCAGUGGCUCAUUACGGAGACUGACAGAGGAGGAAGAGGAGGCAGGUGGCACCGGCAGAAUCUUUGAGGCCUGGUUCCUGGUGGUCCAAUGUUCCCACUGGGUGCAAGCGGCCCUCCAGCUGCUGCUUUCCACACAGCCCAUUGAUGUCGAUCCCUUGCUGUGGCUGCUGACCUUUUACCAUCACCCCACCAACAGGGGGCACUGCAGGGAUGUACAACUGGUACACUUUAAGGAAGCCUGGGACCACCUGCACCACCUGUUUUUCACAGUGCCCGCGCUCGCUCAUCCCCUUCUUCCUGUGGAGCGGCUCCACAGUCUGCUGGUGCUCAUUUCGCCGUGCACUCAGCGACCAUCGGCGGCACCGUUAUUGAUUGUCGACCUUGUGGUCAACUGUGCAGUUUUCUCCCAACAAUCACUGAGCGUCUCUACAGAGAUUGUACGCACGGUGGUGGCUCGGUCCGGUCUGGUCGGUGAAGCGAUGCACGUUCUGGACUCACUGGAGCAUCAACUCAAAGCAGCGAGUUGCCAAUCAAAUGACGACAGCAGAGUUGUCGUCAGGAUCAAGGAGCUUCACAACACUCUUCAGGAUGUCCCCUCAGGGAUCCGCCCCUCGCAUUGACACAGUCAACAAUCAGCCUUGGCUCAGGGAGUCGGACCGCCACAACAUUCCGCUGUUGGCCGCCAGUGCUCGACCCUCGCACGACCCCAAGCUCCUGUCAUCUCCUUCUGUUGUCGGCCGCCUGAAGACACAGAGAGAGAGAGAGAACCAGACAGAGAGAGUAAAUCCAGCCCUUUUUAUCCUCCCCUGCUGACCCUGUCUCCAUGACGGCCUGACCUCCGUCGACAAGCCCGCUUCUCGUCGCUCUUGCCUUUCAAACCGGACCAUUGUUCGGCCCCCUUCUCUGAUUUAAAGCCACAAACAUCCAUCAGCCUUUAACAGCGAUGGCGGUCUCGAGUCUUGACGAGGAGCAGUGCGCCAGGCAGCUGUUGGGAUUUGGGUGCGGACCGUGACAGCGUAAGUGGCAUCACAAACACUUGCACUUUUAAUUAGUCUGGAAGUGCUCCAUACAGCUGCUCAGAAUAGAAAUGUGGAGGGGCAGAUGGUAAGGAAGACUUUUAAGCCAAACAAUGUACAGUAAAGCAUGGAGUCCAUACCUCAAAUAAUCAUGUCUGAUCAUGAAACAUCCAGUGGUUACACAUUGGCGAGAUGACGCUUUCUUCGCAGAGUAGCUUGUGUGAGAGAGUUUAAUAAAACAAAAUUUAAAAAAAGGUGCAGUGGCAAUGAUGUAAACC